rnacentral:rRNA from 1 species
GACGAACGCUGGCGGCGUGCUUAACACAUGCAAGUCGAACGGAAAGGCCCUGCUUGCAGGGUGCUCGAGUGGCGAACGGGUGAGUAACACGUGGGUGAUCCGCCCCUUACUUUGGGAUAAGCCUGGGAAACUGGGUCUAAUACUGGAUAGGACCAUGCUGGCGGUGGUGUGGUGGUUAGAUUGGUUUCGGUAGGUGAUGAGCUCGCGGCCUAUCAGCUUGUUGGUGGGGUAUUGGGCUACCAAGGCGUCGACGGGUGGCCGGCCGGUGAGGGUGGGCGGCCGGAUUGGGACUGAGUGACGGACGAGACUCCUACGGGAGGGAGGAGGGGGGGAGAAUGCACAAUGGGCGGAAGGCUGCUGCAGCGACGCCGCGUGGGGGAUGAAGGACGUCGGGUGGUAUGCAACUUGCAGCCAUGAGGAAGGACUUGCGGUGACGGUAGUGGUAGAAGAAGCAACGGCUAACUACGUG